rnacentral:rRNA from 1 species
UACGUAGGGGGCUAGCGUUGUCCGGAAUCAUUGGGCGUAAAGCGCGUGUAGGCGGUCCGGUAAGUCCGCUGUGAAAGUCGGGGGCUCAACCCUCGGAUGCCGGUGGAUACUGUCGGGCUUGAGUACGGAAGAGGCGAGUGGAAUUCCUGGUGUAGCGGUGAAAUGCGUAGAUAUCUGGAGGAACACCGGUGGCGAAGGCGGCAUCCUGGACCGAGAUUGACGCUGAGGCGCGAAAGCCGGGAGCAAAGCGGG